rnacentral:rRNA from 2 species
UUGAUCCUGGCUCAGGAUGAACGCUAGCUACAGGCUUAACACCUGCAAGUCGAGGGGCAGCGGGAUUGAAGCUUGCUUCAAUUGCCGGCGACCGGCGCACGGGUGAGUAACGCGUAUCCAACCUUCCGUACACUCAGGGAUAGCCUUUCGAAAGAAAGGUUAAUACCUGAUGGUAUGAUGAGAUUGCAUGAUAGCAUCAUUAAAGAUUUAUCGGUGUACGAUGGGGAUGCGUUCCAUUAGGUAGUAGGCGGGGUAACGGCCCACCUAGCCAACGAUGGAUAGGGGUUCUGAGAGGAAGGUCCCCCACAUUGGAACUGAGACACGGUCCAAACUCCUACGGGAGGCAGCAGUGAGGAAUAUUGGUCAAUGGACGAGAGUCUGAACCAGCCAAGUAGCGUGAAGGAUGAAGGUCCUACGGACUGUAAACUUCUUUUAUAAGGGAAUAAACCCUCCCACGUGUGGGAGCUUGUAUGUACCUUAUGAAUAAGCAUCGGCUAACUCCGUGCCAGCAGCCGCGGUAAUACGGAGGAUGCGAGCGUUAUCCGGAUUUAUUGGGUUUAAAGGGAGCGCAGACGGGUCGUUAAGUCAGCUGUGAAAGUUUGGGGCUCAACCUUAAAAUUGCAGUUGAUACUGGCGUCCUUGAGUGCGGUUGGGGUGUGCGGAAUUCGUGGUGUAGCGGUGAAAUGCUUAGGUAUCACGAAGAACUCCGAUUGCGAAGGCAGCACACUAGUCCGUAACUGACGUUCAUGCUCGAAAGUGUGGGUAUCAAACAGGAUUAGAUACCCUGGUAGUCCACACGGUAAACGAUGGAUACUCGCUGUUGGCGAUAUACUGUCAGCGGCUUAGCGAAAGCGUUAAGUAUCCCACCUGGGGAGUACGCCGGCAACGGUGCAACUCAAAUGAAUUGACGGA